UCGGGUUGUAAAGCACUUUUGUCCGGAAAGAAAACUUCGGCCCUAAUACGGCGGGAGGAUGACGGUACCGGAAGAAUAAGCACCGGCUAACUACGUGCCAGCAGCGCGGUAAUCGUAGGGUGCGAGCGUUAAUCGGAAUUACUGGGCGUAAAGCGUGCGCAGGCGGUUCGUUAAGACAGAUGUGAAAUCCCCGGGCUUAACCUGGGAACUGCAUUUGUGACUGGCGAGCUAGAGUAUGGCAGAGGGGGGUAGAAUUCCACGUGUAGCAGUGAAAUGCGUAGAGAUGUGGAGGAAUACCGAUGGCGAAGGCAGCCCCCUGGGCCAAUACUGACGCUCAUGCACGAAAGCGUGGGGAGCAAACAGGAUUAGAUACCCUGGUAGUCCACGCCCUAAACGAUGUCAACUAGUUGUUGGGGAUUCAUUUCCUUAGUAACGUAGCUAACGCGUGAAGUUGACCGCCUGGGGAGUACGGUCGCAAGAUUAAAACUCAAAGGAAUUGACGGGGACCCGCACAAGCGGUGGAUGGAUGUGGAUUAAUUCGAUGCAACGCGAAAAACCUUACCUACCCUUGACAAGGUCGGAACCCUGCUG
rnacentral:rRNA from 1 species